GCUAAAAAGAGACUGCGCCAUGGUGAGAAAACAUGUAAAAUCCUACCGUGGAAUGAGCAGCCCUUACAGUGUCAUUACCGCCAAGGGCAGCUUUAAGGAACAUGCCUGAGAAAUGUAGCUGAAGUAGAGGGGAUGUGAGAGAAGGGCCAGGCCAGCAGGCCAACCCUCCUCCCGUGGAAAUUCCCAUGUUGUUUCAAACUCUGAGAUAGAUGGGACUUAACAGGCAGUGGGGUCUGCGUCCCCCUCUUCAGCACCCCCUGUGCCCCACUUUCUGCUAAAUGAACUGCUGGCAGGUGGGACCUCAGAGACCCCCAGCUGAAAGCUUGAAUUUCGCGUACUGGCUCUGUGUGUUGCUGAGGUCUGUAGAAAGCAAUGCAUCACAAACUAAGGUGGUCAAUGCUAUGCUGCCAUUGGUAUACAUUGUGAAUUUUUAUGUAAAUUGCUCUGCAAAGCAAAUUGAUACGUUUGAUAAAUUUAUGUUUUUAGAUAAAUAAAAACUUUUAAAAAUUU